UGCCUUGUGUGAUCAUAUAUGUAAUUUUGCUCUUCCUCCUGGUCUUGUUAUUUUAGAUAUGAAAAAAUAUGGACAGCAAAUAGCAGGUCACCUUCAAAAGGCAGAAAGCAUUUACUUAUCUGUCACAAAAAUCAGUAUGGAAUGUAAAGGAGCAUCCUUUCCUGAAGAUGGGUCAAAGGGAAAUACCCACAGGUUCUGCCUGGCAUACUGCAGAAGCAUUGCUGCAUUUUACCUGACAGGAACACAGGUCUCCUGUCUUUUUUCCCCUGCAGAACUAAUUUGGACUAAACAAAGACAUAAGCAAACUUACCAAAGGUUUGGCACAGACAUAAGUGCUGGUAGAUGGCAACAGCUAUGAAAAGUAGAGUUCUACAUUCAAAACAGUCUUAACAUUUACAUCUUCACUUUUUUUCCUCUGGGAAACGUGGAUGAGUGUCUUUCAGUUUGGUCCUGGACAUGCAAAUACAGCUAUCUGAAUAAAGACUACUGAAAAUUAGUAUUUUUCUGUUUU
rnacentral:lncRNA from 1 species